UUCCUUGUUCUCGUAGCUCGACUUGGUUCAGCUAAAGCUUGGCUUGGGUUUAGGCGUAGCAGAAUUUCUAUCCUCGAGAUUACUUCUAUUGCUUCCUACGCCUUCACAAGAGCUUAGAUUUUUAAGUUCUCUCAAGAUUAAGUUCAGCUAUGGCUGGUUUAUCUAAUUCCUUGACUGGACCAACUUCGAGGAGUGUGGAAUUACAGGAUGGAUCUGCGAAACAAGUUUCAUGGGCUGAUUGCUUUCAGAAUGGCAUUGGAUCGGAUGUUAAAGCUAAAUCAUGGGCACAAGUGUUUCGUGAUCAUGCAAAUGUUCAUGAUGGAUUAGGUUUAGCAUACUUUCCUCCUUUAAAGGAACCAAUUAUGAAUGCCCAAAUUGACAUGGUUGGUGUAGAAGAAGAGAUCAUGAAGUGGAAAGGCGCAGUAUUGGGAUUUGUUUUGGGAUUAACUCCUCCUUAUUAAAUUAUCCGAAAAUUUGUUGAAUCAAAACCCCAACAAUUUGAGUUCAUUUCAGGAUUUGGAACAAAAACCAGACCAAAGACUUGAAGCCAAAACUGGAUCAAGGUUUGACAAUUAGUUGUGUAAUCUCCUUUAAGCUUUUCAAGUGUGAUUCAAUUUCUUCAAAAGUGUAGCUUUGUGAGGGUUAUCCGUGCAAGUGUAAAACUUCCUUACUUGAUCAAGUGAGACUUAAGGCAAGGAGGAAGUGAUCCUUCCUUUAUACACAAGAGAUUGGUUGAAAGUUGAUCAUAUUGAAGUAGCUUGAUAUAUAAAGUGAUAUUCAAACUUAGUCAAGUUUGAAACUUGGUUUGCAA